rnacentral:misc_RNA from 1 species
GAUAGAUAUCUCAUUUUAGUAGAGCUCAUUAUUAUUGAUAUUGACAAAUGAAAUUUAAUAUAAUUUGAGAUUUUUAUUUCUUUUUCCCUUAGACUUUUCUAUUGUGUUCUACAUCACUAACUACUCUAUAUGCAGGAGAAAGGGUCAAACAAUGCAAAAAUCAUUCUUGCCUCAGGAUCUCCACCUAUCCUCCAGUGCAUCUAGAUUUCAAAGUCCUAGUGGGAAAAAAUAAUUCUUUAUACUGAAGUUCUGGUCUUCUUCACCAUCACUUUAUUCAAUUCAUAGACUACAGUUCCAUAAAUUUGUAUU